rnacentral:lncRNA from 1 species
AUCGGUAAUGAAAAAGGAUUUUAAUGCCAGUAUUAAUUAUGAAAUGAUUUAAAGAUGAUUAUUUUUUUAACUUAUAUAUUUUUUCAUAAAUUAUUAUUUUUUAUCCAGAGCUAAAUUAAACAUAUUUCUUGUACGGAAUUAUAUGGAGCUUCCUAUUUUGAAUCUAACCAUGCACUAUAAAUUACAUUUUUUUAAUGUUCGGGAUACUCAUGUAAUAUUACGAAAUAUAUUGUCAUUGAUAGCAUUUUU